rnacentral:rRNA from 1 species
AGCGUGGGUAUCGAACAGGAUUAGAUACCCUGGUAGUCCACGCAGUAAACGAUGAAUACUAACUGUUCGGAGGGCGACCUCUGAGUGGUAAAGCGAAAGCGUUAAGUAUUCCACCUGGGGAGUACGCCGGCAACGGUGAAACUCAAAGGAAUUGACGGGGGCCCGCACAAGCGGAGGAACAUGUGGUUUAAUUCGAUGAUACGCGAGGAACCUUACCCGGGCUCAAACGUCGGGCGAAUCAUCCUGAAAGGGAUGAGCCAGCAAUGGCGGCCGACGAGGUGCUGCAUGGUUGUCGUCAGCUCGUGCCGUGAGGUGUCGGCUUAAGUGCCAUAACGAGCGCAACCCCCGCGUCCAGUUGCCAGCGAGUAGAGUCGGGCACUCUGGACGGACUGCCGGCGCAAGCCGCGAGGAAGGCGGGGAUGACGUCAAAUCAGCACGGCCCUUACGUCCGGGGCGACACACGUGUUACAAUGGCGUGGAACAGAGGGAAGCCACCUGGCGACAGGGAGCGGAACCCGAAAACACGUCUCAGUUCGGAUUGGAGUCUGCAACUCGACUCCAUGAAGCUGGAUUCGCUAGUAAUCGCGCAUCAGCCAUGGCGCGGUGAAUACGUUCCCGGGCCUUGUACACACCGCCCGUCAAGCCAUGGGAGCCGGGAGUGCCUGAAGGCCGUAACCGCAAGGAGCGGUCAAGGGUAAAACUGGUAACUGGGGCUAAGUCGUAACAAGGUAGCCGUACCGGAAGGUGCGGCUG